rnacentral:rRNA from 1 species
UACGUAGGUGGCAAGCGUUGUCCGGAUUUACUGGGCGUAAAGGAUGUGUAGGCGGUUUGUUAAGUCAGAUGUGAAAUCCCCGGGCUCAACCUGGGAACUGCAUUUGAAACUGGCAAGCUUGAGUCUUGUAGAGGGGGGUAGAAUUCCAGGUGUAGCGGUGAAAUGCGUAGAGAUCUGGAGGAAUACCGGUGGCGAAGGCGGCCCCCUGGACAAAGACUGACGCUCAGGUGCGAAAGCGUGGGGAGCAAACAGGAUUAGAUACCCUGGUAGUCCACGCUGUAAACGAUGUCGACUUGGAGGUUGUUCCCUUGAGGAGUGGCUUCCGGAGCUAACGCGUUAAGUCGACCGCCUGGGGAGUACGGCCGCAAGGUUAAA